rnacentral:rRNA from 1 species
GAUGAACGCUAGCGGCAGGCUUAAUACAUGCAAGUCGAGGGACAGCACAGGUAGCAAUACUGGGUGGUAACCGGCAAACGGGUGCGGAACACGUACACAACCUUCCUUUAAGUGGGGGAUAGCCCAGAGAAAUUUGGAUUAAUACCCCGUAAUAUAGUUGAAUGGCAUCAUUUGAUUAUUAUAGCUACGGCGCUUAAUGAUGGGUGUGCGGCUGAUUAGAUAGUUGGCGGGGUAGCGGCCCACCAAGUCUACGAUCAGUAGCCGAUGUGAGAGCAUGAUCAGCCACACGGGCACUGAGACACGGGCCCGACUCCUACGGGAGGCAGCAGUAAGGAAUAUUGGUCAAUGGACGCAAGUCUGAACCAGCCAUGCCGCGUGAAGGAUUAAGGUCCUCUGGAUUGUAAACUUCUUUUAUUUGGGACGAAAAAGGGCCUUUCUAGGUCAACUGACGGUACCAGAUGAAUAAGCACCGGCUAACUCCGUGCCAGCCGCCGCCGUAAAAC